rnacentral:lncRNA from 1 species
UGUUUAUAUUGGAACCCGUUUUGCAUAAAAAUUGCUAUCUUUAUAUUAACCUUAGAGAAGCAAGUCUAGAUGAGUUGUCUGCUGAAACAACUUCAGUGUUGUGGAAAUACAAGUUUCCUAUAAACAUACAAAAGCGCAUAAACAUGCAAAAGCUGCUACCUGAGAGCAACUCAACAACACAUCGAAAAAAAAGCGAACUCGAUUAGGCGUCCACCUAAUUAAUUCCGAAAUACAAAAGCGGCCGGAAACCAAAACCAAGUAUCGCUGGCCUGAACUCAUUAUUAACCCCAGAUAGCUCAUCUUGUCAAUCUAGACAUUUGAAAUCCUCAUUUGGCGGUGCUGUAGCUUUCUGAUGUGCUUACAAAUGCAUGCUUUAGCGAUGCUUACGCAGUUCAUCCACUCCUAUAUCUACCCAGACUAAUGCUGCAAACUUGACCGUUUUUUUACUUUAAAACCUUCAGAACAUGUACUCAUCUCUCAAUCAAAUCCUUAACAUAGCCAAUAAUUAGCUCUGUUCUAUCAAUCAUCACGCAUAUUUUCCAACACAAACAUUCCGAACCAGCAUCUCCAGUCCCAUCCGGCAGAAUUCAUAAAUCCAGGCACUAAACAAAUUGAAAGUAGACCAAUUUCUUCCUCUCUUUUUUUUCCCUAUCAAGAAGAAUGAAACGCCACUCCUCGAUCAAUCCACGGAAAAAAAACUGAACAUUUACCACAACCCAUUUAAACAUUCAAUGUCCCAUUACAUUUCUCCAGAAAGUUACAUCCAUGUGAAAAUAAUGAAACAACGACGAAUUUAAAGUACCACACAGAACCCAUCAGACCCCUGUUGCCACUGCACUCUCAAAGCAAACCGCGAAUCUCGCUGAUUCCUCAAAAACCGCCAUGCCACGCCACCUCCUUAACAGAGCAAACUUGCCAUUUACGAAGCGCCCAACAACACCCUACCAGAACUACCAGCCGCUCGAUAAACACAAUACAAAACCGGCGAAUUGCCCCAAUGCAGCUCCGCCGAGCAGCUCGAGCACUCUCGAAUUCCGCCGAAACGAAUCUCGCAGCAAAAACCGAUGACCAAAUCACUCGACCCAAUUCAAUCAAAUCAUCAAAAACCGCCGCAAACUCCCUAACGCCACCAACAACCCUUGCCAAUCAAAGUCAAAGCCCCAAAAUUUAGAUCAGCCACGACUCCCAUCGAGACACAAACCUUGGGAGACCAACAGAACAGAUCGAUCUACAGACAGUCCACCGGACUCAAAAAAAAAAAAAAAACUGCAAAACGGAGGAAUCCACACACCGACGACGAGAGGGAGAACCCCUGCUGUCGGCGGCAACGGAGGAGGUUUUUUCCGUUACCUGGAACGGCAGCCGGGACCCGAUUAGGGUGUAGUCCGCCACCGCGUGGUACAGCAGGAGUGACACAAGCUCACGUCAGGCGCGAACACCGUCAGGAGGCCCGCGAACGUCUUGCACCCGGCCUUCUCGAGCAGCGCCGUCACGUUCGUGUCCGAGGCCGACGGCGCCGAGGCGGCGAGGAUGGCCGGGACCAGGAUGGGGGCACUGAUCUGGAGGACGGUGGGUGAGCGGAAGCAGCGUAGCGGCGUAGUGCUCGGAUACAGCGGAGGUUAGAGCUUGAGAGUAAAGAUAGAAAGUUAGAAAUGAAUUAGGGUUUUGCCUUAAAAACCGGUUCUCAAACCGGUUCCCGAACCGGUCCGGUCGAUCCGGUUCCCGGGUGGGUAUUCCCUCGGAACCGGUUCCCGGACUGGUUCAAACAGGGUCUGAACUUUGGGAACCGGUUCCCGGACUGGUUUCAACCGGAA